UGGGGAAUAUUGCACACUGGGCGCAAGCCUGAUGCAGCCAUGCCGCGUGUAUGAAGAAGGCCUUCGGGUUGUAAAGUACUUUCAGCGGGGAGGAAGGCGAUAAGGUUAAUAACCUUGUCGAUUGACGUUACCCGCAGAAGAAGCACCGGCUAACUCCGUGCCAGCAGCCGCGGCAAUACGGAGGGUGCAAGCGUUAAUCGGAAUUACUGGGCGUAAAGCGCACGCAGGCGGUCUGUCAAGUCGGAUGUGAAAUCCCCGGGCUCAACCUGGGAACUGCAUUCGAAACUGGCAGGCUAGAGUCUUGUAGAGGGGGGUAGAAUUCCAGGUGUAGCGGUGAAAUGCGUAGAGAUCUGGAGGAAUACCGGUGGCGAAGGCGGCCCCCUGGACAAAGACUGACGCUCAGGUGCGAAAGCGUGGGGAGCAAACA
rnacentral:rRNA from 1 species